GCCAGACUCCUACGGGAGGCAGCAGUGGGGAAUAUUGCACAAUGGGCGAAAGCCUGAUGGAGCAACGCCGCGUGGGUGAAGAAGGUCUUCGGAUCGUAAAACCCUGUUGUUAGAGAAGAAAGUGCGUGAGAGUAACUGUUCACGUUUCGACGGUAUCUAACCAGAAAGCCACGGCUAACUACGUGCCAGCAGCCGCGGUAAUACGUAGGUGGCAAGCGUUAUCCGGAUUUAUUGGGCGUAAAGGGAACGCGGGCGGUCUUUUAAGUCUGAUGUGAAAGCCUUCGGCUUAACCGGAGUAGUGCAUUGGAAACUGGGAGACUUGAGUGCAGAAGAGGAGAGUGGAACUCCAUGUGUAGCGGUGAAAUGCGUAGAUAUUAGGAGGAACACCGGUGGCGAAGGCGGCUUACUGGACAGAAACUGACACUGAGGCUCGAAAGCGUGGGGAGCAAACAGGAUUAGAUACCCCUGUACA
rnacentral:rRNA from 1 species